UUGGUUCGAUUUUGUGGUGGAAACUCGAAACCGUUUUCUCGGAUUUCAAUUCAAAAUUGGGGCUUUCGCGUUAGGGAUGUAAAUCGAAGUCUGGGUUUCGAAUAAUUGCUGUAAAUCGUCAUGGUCGUUUCAUGUAGGGUUCGUUUCUCUGAAUGUUCGAAAGGGAUUUGCGAUUUGUGUGAUUUAAAAUCGAUUUGGGGUUUUUUAUUUAGGGUUCUUAAUCGAUAUGGGAGUUCAAUUGUGGUAAUGUGUGCUAAUAAUCUGUCGUUAAUGUGUGCUAAUAAUUGAAUUGUUGAAGAGGAAACUGUUCAUGGGUCCACAAAAAAAUAUUAAAAAAAUUUGGUGAACCCCAAAGUGGAGUUCACCAAUGCUCAUGCUCUUAGGAGCAGAAAGGGGGGAGAAGCUUUUUCAUAAAUGAGAGAAUUCAUUCACUCGGAUUUCAGAAACAGUAUCAUUGGUUUCUUUUUCUAGUUGAAAGUCAUUGAUUCUUCUCACCGCAAACCCGUUUUUGUCAAUCUUUUAGGUGAAUCCAUUUCAACUGUUUUUUUUUUCUUUCCUUUUUUCUUUUCCUCUGGCUAGAAAGUUUAAUUUUCUUUUCACUAAUUCUGACGUUUUGGCACUAAUCUUUGAAAGUAUUGUGAAAAACAUCUCUAGACACCAUUGAGAUACCUGCACUUUGUUGAAAAUAUUUCAAUUUAUUUAGUUUCUAAAAUUUCAUUUAAUUAGAAAAUUGCAAAUGAUGCUGAUAAAUAAACUAGAUUCGGAUCCGCACAUUUACGCAGAUUUUUUAAUGUAACAGUUUUAAAUUAAUUAAUAUUUAUAUGUACAACUAUUUCAUGUGGUGUUAAAGUUUGGAGUUAUGAAUGGAUUAGAUAUGUUGGAAUAUGUAUCUUUAUCUACGAAUCUAGUACUCCAUUAUGAAAACUAAUUAUGUUGAGAUUUUUUAAGUAAUGUGAUAUAAAUUUAAUAUGUAUUAGAUUGAUUUAAGAUAUUAUAUAUAUAAAUAUAUAUUACGAAAAUAUAUGUUCAUAUUGGUCUCAUGUUAUUUUAGGCUUUGAUAUUUUAUAGUUGAAAUGAUCAAUCUUUUUAACACUAAAUGUUGCUUUCAUAGUAUAUUUCUCCUUAAAUAGAUUAGAUAGUUUUUUAUUGAAAUUAUUGUUGUAAACAUAUUUUUGUUGAUAAAUAAUCAUAUAACCUUUCAGCCAAACAUGUUCAAUUUAUGACCAUUUUUGCAAAAGCGUGAGAAAAGAUUUCCAGCUUCUUUUUUUUUUACUUGGAUAUUUCAAACUUAUUAAUACGACUAAAAGUGGAUAACAUGCAAUUAUUACAGUUAGGUUCAUCUAUCAAUGUUUAUAUACCAAAAGAAAACACUUUCUUAUUUAGAUAAAAGUUCUUUAUUCUUCUUUUUUCUCAAAAGAUCUCCUUUAGCACUUAUUGUAAAAUCUAUCUCCAUUGAUGGUUAAACAUGUCAUGCCAUUAAAGGUGUGUACCAAGUAUGUUCUCCUAACCUUUUUAGAUUGUCGGUUGUUAAUUUUCUUUUACGUCUUUCUUAGCAAGCUGCGACUUUCUUACCUAUAGGAAUAAUGAUAAGUAUUUCUCACAAAUGAAAUGGAUUCACAUGGAAAUGUCACAAAUGUAAUAGAUUCGCAUUGAUAUGAGAUUUUGCAGUGGACAUAAUUCAAAUGUGAUAAAAUUUACUUAAAAUUUUUAAACAGUGGCAUUAGACAUGGCGGACAGGAGAAAUGUGAUGUGAGUCUGCUCCAUGAAUCCUAUCUUUCCUCGCUGUCCACACGCAGUUCGUCUGCCACUCCCGCCAUGUCCAUCUUUUCUCGGUGAAGCUCUCUCCUUUCGAUCAUCUCGACAACUCGGUCCGUCGUGUUGGGUGAGAGUUGUAGCUGUAGCGAUGGCGAUUGCAUCUCCUGAUCAUCUCUUCUACCUGAUUUAGAGAUCACUCAUGAGUGUUGCAUUGCUGCAUGCGUACGCUUACGGUAAGAAUUUAUAGUCGCUUCUUGCCAUCUAACUGGUGGAAUGCUCAUUUCUGUAUGUUUUGGCUUGUGAUAUAUGUUCACGGAGACUGAGAAUGUGGCGUGGAGGCGUGAGCUAUGUUCCCUCUAAAAUCAAGCCUCUUUGACUUCAGUUCUUGCUAGCUCAUCUUGUUGUCCAUGAGUUUGAGUAGUAUGCUUAGCAGUUCAUGCAAGGAGUCUCUUUGUUUUAUUGUGUUCACGGCUCUUAGAGCUUCAAAAAGAAGUAGCAAGGCCUCGAAGUGGUGAUACUGCACCCUUUCAUUUAGCUGACUUUGAAGAGGAGUGGGGUUGUGGAAGUUGAGCGAUGUUAAGGUUUGGUGGUUAAUAUUAUCCCGUCUAAGGCCGGUUCUUGAUUUUGGAAGAGUGUCCUAGCUUAGACUUGAGGACGGUCUUCGAGCGGGCCUCUAUGUUGUUUCAAAGGAAUGGUCUUUUGCUUCGGGUGAAAGGAUGAAAUGGCUUCUUGGUCGGUUGAUCGUGGAUCCACUUUGUCUUGGGUGUGUGACGUGUGUCCCUUCUUCCAGUAGAUGCUCGAUCUCUCAUUCAGGUGCUUUAAGUUUGUAUCGAUUACUUCUAGUGUCACAAUCAUAAUUCCAGUUGCUGCUUGAUCUCUCACAGUCAUACUCUCAUUAAAACAUGCACGUAUCUUACAGUUUGUCAAAUAAAAUACAGUAUGAUUUUUUCUUUGACCAAAAAAAAUAUAUGAUUUUUUUUUUCAAUUCAUAAACUUCAUUAUAUAAAAAGUAAGAAAAAAAAAAGUAGAAUCCUCUUUAAUACUUUUGCAUCAGAAAUGUAAAACCACAUUUGUUAUAAAAGUGAUAAACUACUUUUAAACGGAAAGAAUAAAACUUAUCCUAAAUGGGUUACUUCAAAAAGAAAUCCACCAUGGAAUUAGAUAUCGAAACGAUUUGUAUUAACGUACAUUCCUUAGUUUCUCUCCUAAGAUUGCACAUACCUUAGUUUCUCUCAUAGCCCCAAAUAUAACCAAUGCAUAUUGAUAUUGUGAACUCAAUGCACUAAAUCAUAUUUGAUUGUAACUGGUCAUGAAUUCACGUAGAAAAAGCGUGGGGUUGUCUAAGCCAGUUUGAAGUAGACGUUGUAAAAAAGAGUAAACUACACACAUUGAUCAUGAAAGCAAAUACAAUAAGUAGUAAUUAUAAUUGGAAACGACGUUAAAAGUGUGAGGAGGAAGAAUCAAAACGGCUUGAGUUGAGUGUGUAGUGGGAAAUGAUGGUUCGCUUGACAACAAGACCACACAUGUAUUAUGGCCUCUUUUUACAUGAAUCAUAACACUUCUUCGUGUUUCCGGCAAAAUCAUGUCUAAACUUGCACGCAUUAUCACUUCCUCGUAUUGAAGAAAUGUAUAUAGAAAAAAUUCUGGGAUAUAAAUAAGAUACUCUGUUGCUCGCUUCGUAACAGUUUUCUCAAUCUAUAAGUUAUAUUAUCAAUUGUGGUAAUUUAUUUCGGGUUCAUAACUGUUCAUGGGUCCACAAAAAAAUAUUAAAAAAAUUUGGUGAACCCCAAAGUGGAGUUCACCAAUGCUCAUGCUCUUAGGAGCAGAAAGGGGGGAGAAGCUUUUUCAUAAAUGAGAGAAUUCAUUCACUCGGAUUUCAGAAACAGUAUCAUUGGUUUCUUUUUCUAGUUGAAAGUCAUUGAUUCUUCUCACCGCAAACCCGUUUUUGUCAAUCUUUUAGGUGAAUCCAUUUCAACUGUUUUUUUUUUCUUUCCUUUUUUCUUUUCCUCUGGCUAGAAAGUUUAAUUUUCUUUUCACUAAUUCUGACGUUUUGGCACUAAUCUUUGAAAGUAUUGUGAAAAACAUCUCUAGACACCAUUGAGAUACCUGCACUUUGUUGAAAAUAUUUCAAUUUAUUUAGUUUCUAAAAUUUCAUUUAAUUAGAAAAUUGCAAAUGAUGCUGAUAAAUAAACUAGAUUCGGAUCCGCACAUUUACGCAGAUUUUUUAAUGUAACAGUUUUAAAUUAAUUAAUAUUUAUAUGUACAACUAUUUCAUGUGGUGUUAAAGUUUGGAGUUAUGAAUGGAUUAGAUAUGUUGGAAUAUGUAUCUUUAUCUACGAAUCUAGUACUCCAUUAUGAAAACUAAUUAUGUUGAGAUUUUUUAAGUAAUGUGAUAUAAAUUUAAUAUGUAUUAGAUUGAUUUAAGAUAUUAUAUAUAUAAAUAUAUAUUACGAAAAUAUAUGUUCAUAUUGGUCUCAUGUUAUUUUAGGCUUUGAUAUUUUAUAGUUGAAAUGAUCAAUCUUUUUAACACUAAAUGUUGCUUUCAUAGUAUAUUUCUCCUUAAAUAGAUUAGAUAGUUUUUUAUUGAAAUUAUUGUUGUAAACAUAUUUUUGUUGAUAAAUAAUCAUAUAACCUUUCAGCCAAACAUGUUCAAUUUAUGACCAUUUUUGCAAAAGCGUGAGAAAAGAUUUCCAGCUUCUUUUUUUUUUACUUGGAUAUUUCAAACUUAUUAAUACGACUAAAAGUGGAUAACAUGCAAUUAUUACAGUUAGGUUCAUCUAUCAAUGUUUAUAUACCAAAAGAAAACACUUUCUUAUUUAGAUAAAAGUUCUUUAUUCUUCUUUUUUCUCAAAAGAUCUCCUUUAGCACUUAUUGUAAAAUCUAUCUCCAUUGAUGGUUAAACAUGUCAUGCCAUUAAAGGUGUGUACAAAGUAUGUUCUCCUAACCUUUUUAGAUUGUCGGUUGUUAAUUUUCUUUUACGUCUUUCUUAGCAAGCUGCGACUUUCUUACCUAUAGGAAUAAUGAUAAGUAUUUCUCACAAAUGAAAUGGAUUCACAUGGAAAUGUCACAAAUGUAAUAGAUUCGCAUUGAUAUGAGAUUUUGCAGUGGACAUAAUUCAAAUGUGAUAAAAUUUACUUAAAAUUUUUAAACAGUGGCAUUAGACAUGGCGGACAGGAGAAAUGUGAUGUGAGUCUGCUCCAUGAAUCCUAUCUUUCCUCGCUGUCCACACGCAGUUCGUCUGCCACUCCCGCCAUGUCCAUCUUUUCUCGGUGAAGCUCUCUCCUUUCGAUCAUCUCGACAACUCGGUCCGUCGUGUUGGGUGAGAGUUGUAGCUGUAGCGAUGGCGAUUGCAUCUCCUGAUCAUCUCUUCUACCUGAUUUAGAGAUCACUCAUGAGUGUUGCAUUGCUGCAUGCGUACGCUUACGACUGAGAAUGUGGCGUGGAGGCGUGAGCUAUGUUCCCUCUAAAAUCAAGCCUCUUUGACUUCAGUUCUUGCUAGCUCAUCUUGUUGUCCAUGAGUUUGAGUAGUAUGCUUAGCAGUUCAUGCAAGGAGUCUCUUUGUUUUAUUGUGUUCACGGCUCUUAGAGCUUCAAAAAGAAGUAGCAAGGCCUCGAAGUGGUGAUACUGCACCCUUUCAUUUAGCUGACUUUGAAGAGGAGUGGGGUUGUGGAAGUUGAGCGAUGUUAAGGUUUGGUGGUUAAUAUUAUCCCGUCUAAGGCCGGUUCUUGAUUUUGGAAGAGUGUCCUAGCUUAGACUUGAGGACGGUCUUCGAGCGGGCCUCUAUGUUGUUUCAAAGGAAUGGUCUUUUGCUUCGGGUGAAAGGAUGAAAUGGCUUCUUGGUCGGUUGAUCGUGGAUCCACUUUGUCUUGGGUGUGUGACGUGUGUCCCUUCUUCCAGUAGAUGCUCGAUCUCUCAUUCAGGUGCUUUAAGUUUGUAUCGAUUACUUCUAGUGUCACAAUCAUAAUUCCAGUUGCUGCUUGAUCUCUCACAGUCAUACUCUCAUUAAAACAUGCACGUAUCUUACAGUUUGUCAAAUAAAAUACAGUAUGAUUUUUUCUUUGACCAAAAAAAAUAUAUGAUUUUUUUUU